CUGUGAAUUAAGCAUGGUGAUCCUGCUGCUAACUUGCAGCAUCCCACAACUGUAACCACUUGUCUUAGAUGGCCCAACAACCCUCAAUGCCAUGCUGUCAGGACAGUGCUAGAAUCAAAGUUCUGCCACAUUUUAUUACUACUGUAUCCUGGUCCAAUCAUGCCAGGGCGAAUCAUGUGUUUCUUUAAUUAUUCAUUAGAAGCUCCCCAGUUCAAUGGUCAAAGGCUCUAUAAUGAUAAGUUGCCCUAUGGACUGAAUAGAUUGUGCUAUAUUCUGCUCCAGAGUGAAAUGAGGCAAGGGAGGCUCACCAUUAAAUUACUGACUCCAUCCUUGUGAGGGCUCUCUAGUAAUACUGACCCAGCUAGUCUGACACGUGGGCUGCUGGGCUACUCGCACUGUUUGCAUGACAUGCCAUGUUACAGAUUAGAGAAGGAAAACCAUUAUGAUCAUCUUCAUAUUUACCUCCCCCAAACAAGUGAGAAAUUUAACAUCCAUUCACGAUUUUUACAGCAAAAAAUAAAGUUCAAUCCCAACCCAGCAUCAUUUACUAAAACAAAUUCUGAGGUGACUAAAUAGUGAGGUAAAAAGUAUCAAACAUAGACAGAAUUGAAAUAUGAAUGCAUUUGUAUGCAGAACACAAAAAAGUCAUAAAAGAAAAGACUUUUGAAAAUGUAGAGAUUAAAUGUUUUCCCAGAAGGAAAAAGUACCGAAUUUUUAGACUAGGAAUUAUAAAAUUAUAUAGUACACCCAUAAAUGGCUCACUGCUUAUUAUUAUUUAUACUAAUUUUGAAAUCCAGUUUUAAAAUUAAGCACUGAGUCACAUUUUUAUAAGGUAUGCAAAAUGUUCUUUCCUCAUUAGAAAAAGUCUGAACUGGAGACUUUUUGUCCUUGAACUUUUAGAAAAGCAGCAGUGAGAUACUUUUGUUUGAGAGCAAAUGAGAGACUUUUAAUGAAGAUUUUAGAAUUGAAGAGCUAGACUUUCAGCAUCCAUCUGAAUGUUUAGAAAUCCUGACUAAAAUUGAUUCCCCAAACCAGACCACUUGGUAUUAAUGCAUAUCUCUUUUCUUUUAGUAGAAUUUUUCUUUAAUAUAAAAUGAAAAUAAAAUCUUAAUAGGUUAAAACAAGCCAAAUGCCCACCCUACACACAUAAAUACCUUAGAGUCACCUAAAUCCAGAGUUAAACCUAAAUUGUGCAAGUUUUCAGUGAAAUCAUAAGUCAUACAAUCCAAACAAAAGGCAACUGCAGACAUACAUGGUGAGCCCUCCACGGAACGCACCCCAAGCAGCAUUAGCCUGUGUUCCAUGCCACCGUGGAGACCUGUGCAUCUUAUUUGCUCACAUAGUGCAACAUUUCAAUAGAAUACAUUAACUGCUAGGUGAUGAUGCUUUGAUACUGUUCAUAUAGCAUUCCUUAUCUUAAAUGAUGUGAGUUUUCCAGAAGAGGAGCUUUGGUUUUGCUUUAGAAAUCUCAUCUAAAUUAAACACCUUAUUAAAUAUUAACACAGAGGGAGGUGACACAGGACACAAUACAGACAGUCAAGUCACCUCUCUGCAUAUAUAGGAAUAACUUUCUCCUUCGAGGUAUUUACACUGGAAAGCUUAGUGUGGCCUGAUUAAUAUUUCAGUGGUAAAAUUUUUAGUGAUCAGAACCUUGGCAAAACUAGAAUUCAAAAAUUGUUAACAAAUAUUUCUAGUGAUAAGACUAUGGAAUUAUUACAAAUUUAUUACUAUGAGGGAAAGCAAUCAUCUUUAAAAAAAAUGCCUCAGUCACUGCUACUCAAUAUAGAAGGAUAAAACUCCAUAAUUAGCCAUAAUCUCUGUCCUCUGAAAUUUCCCUAGUAUCAUUCAUUAGAAGGGGAUUUACAGUUGUGAGAGCACUUUAUAGCUACAUUCAGCUUUCCUAUGAAAUACUCAGUUAUCUUAAACACUAUGUAUACUUUUUUCUCUUAGUAAACUUGAUACCAGCUUCAGAGUUUGUGGAAAUGGAAAAAAAGAAUCAUCAUCUAUUAUCAUUCUAUAAAUGAUUUUUUGGUAGAAUAUCAAGUAUACAAAUCAAAAACAGGAUAGGCACUACUAGGGCCUAAACUGUUCCCCCCACCCCCAAUUUAUAUGUCGAAGUCCUAAACUUCAGUUUGGAGAAGACAAUGGCACCCCACUCCAGUACUCUUGCCUGGAAAAUCCCAUGGACGGAGGAGCCUGUUGGGCUGCGGUCCAUGGGGUUGCUAAGAGUCGGGCAUGACUGAGCGACUUUACUUUCACUUUUCACUUUCAUGCAUUGGAGAAGGAAAUGGCAACCUACUCCAGUGUUGUUGCCUGGAGAUUCCCAGGGACGGGGGAGCCUGGUCAGCUGCUGUCUAUGGGGUCGCACAGAGUUGGACACGACUGAAGUGACUUAGCAGCAGCAGCAAACUUCAGUUAUCUCAGAAUAAAAGAGACAAGGUCCUUAAAGAGGUAAUUAAAUUAAAAAGAAGUCAUCCGGGUGAGUCUUAAUCCAGCCUGACUGGUGCCCCUAUCAGAAGAGGCGAUCUGGACACAGACAAGCACAGAGCACAGGAGAAGACAGAGGUCUAGGAGCCAAGGAGUAGAACCUUCCCCCAGGAUCUCAGGAGCCAGCCCUGCCACACCUUGAUUGCAGACCUCUGGCCUUCAGAACCCUGAGAAAAUACAUUUCUGUUGUUUAAGGCAUUAUCUUUAGUACUUUAUCAUGACAGACCCAGAAAACAUAUACAGCCACUCCUGUCUUUCCAAAACUGAAGUAGUUUUUUGUUCCCUUUUUCUGUAAGCCUCAGUCAUCAUUCCUCAGUGGAAAAGGGUGGUGGCCUGGCCCUGCUCCUCCAGCUUCUCAGAAACUGCUUUCUCACUGUUGCAGAGCGGCUUAAACAGAUGUGUGUUAAGGAGGACUUUCCCAAAUGCCUAUAAAGAUAAACCCACAACAUAUUUCCUGCCUUUCCCAACAUGUGAGCCUAAAAAUUAAAGACAGUUGUCUUAUUAAAACCAGAAGCCAUCUUUGCACAAGGGCCAUCAUCUGAGUGGUAACUGGAACAAAAGCCUGGGCUGGAGCAGUACCUGAGAGGGAACUGCAGGCACCAGAACUGUGACACUGGAAUUCUUCUUGCAGUUUAGUCAUCUCAUGGCUUCUUCAUCCCUUUCUAGACAGAGCUUACACUGUCUUUGGCUUCAACACAGAGCUCAGACCAGCCUGCCCUGAUAUCUAUCACCUGACUCUAGAUUUUGGUUUUUCAUCCCACUGGCAGCUUUUCCUGUCUUUUCACAAGCAGCACUCCACCACUGCAAACCUGCUCUGAAGGAGUCUCCUGGAACUUAGACAGCUCUAGAAGUCCUUUCAGCAUUUACUUCCACUCAAGUGAGAACCAGAGAACUGAGCUCUGCAAAUAUAGCAGCCUUCUACAGUGCAGUACACCCUUGGCUUGUGAAACUCAACAUCUUUACUUCUAGAAAUAGUCUUCCAAAAGCUGCCA
ensembl:lncRNA